AUGGAUCGUGUUCUGAACAAAAAAUUUGUUCGGGUAUACUUAGAAGAAAUAAAAAGUAAAAACAGAGUGUGCACAGGAAAAGUGAACAAAGGCAUGAAUAUUUGUUACUUUCUGAUUUUAGAUGGGUCAACAACCUGUAUUGAGACUUCAAAUUUUGUAAACAAAUUCUUAAUCAAAGAAUAUGUCUAUGGUUAUUUUUUUUCCUAUCAAUUUUUUUCUUCUAAUUUGUCUACUUCAUACGAAUUUGAACCUGCAAGUGUUCAUGUCGCAAAUUGCAUACUCAUGUUCCAAUUUGUUCAAAACACUUACAUGUAUAUUGUUGUGAACAAAAUUCUAAUUUGUCUACUUCAUACGGAUUUGAACCUUUAA
rnacentral:rRNA from 1 species